GUCAGGAAGUCAGAUUUGCCCAGGCAGUAGGGCUUUCUAAGUGUGGCUCGCUUUCACUGGAAUUACUGAGGGGAUGAUUACAGCAGCAGCUCAGCAGCAGUUCUGCGUGUGACCCUCGAAGGAAGGAAGCUGCCAGCACAACAUGCGUGUGCACCCAGAUAUUUCAAAAUCAGCUAAAGCUGACAUGCUCAAUAUCUGCUAAAUGGACACAGGGAGAUGCUUGGCUGGCUCCUGACUUGCAGGACAAAUACAUGUUGAGAUGAAACUGACUCCCCACCAGAAGGCUUUAUAGAUCUCUUGCAAGCAUUGCUCCUGGGAGUAAGUCAAACAGCUUAAAGAAACCAAAGAAACAUGACUGAAGCAAAGAUUACUAAGAGGAGAUGAGAGAUCCAGAACACCAUGGUGUUUUAGAGCCCCAAGCCCAGGACUGAGAUAGAGAAGAACAGAGGAUUUUUUUGCUCUCUGGACAGAAAAGCAUCAACACCACUUCCUAGAGCUUCAGCAAGACUGCAACACAGAGAAUGUGCAUUCAAGGCAACAUGGCUCUCAAAGCCAAGGUUUCCAUUGCUGCUGGCUGCUCAGUGGACUUCAGGAAGAGCACCAACUCUCAGCAGAAGCUGUUGGAGCCUGCAUAGGCUGUGGGUCUGCAGACAAGGGCUAUAGCUGCCAGAGAAAGUAAAAGGAAAUGAAGAUUCCUGUCUUGGGAAUUGGACCUUCAGUGUCUUCUCGUACAUGAGAUAAUGCUAUUGGAUGGUGCAGAAUCAGCAAAAAGACAGCAGUGGUUGCCAACCUGGGACUGGAGUGAUGAACACCAUCAAAUCAUCCGCCGUUGCUCAGUUUCUUGCUUUUAUUGGCUUGCACAAGUUUUGUGACUGUUCCAGAGUAUCUGCUCUGCUGAGAAAGUCUAACAACACCAGGCAAGUUUCCUUGCAGAGCCAGCAGCCAGCGUGGGGCUGCUGCUUGGAAUUCAACAAGGCAUUUCUCCAAAGCUGGUAACAGCCAAGAUUUAUCUUGGUAAUUUUGGUCUUGACCCAUUGGAAAUGUUUUUUAGCCUUCAGACAUGCUGCUGGUCAAAGCUUUCCAGUGGGAUGCGAGCCAUAGACUUUCUCAGUCGUUGUAGCUGAGUUAUUUUGCUACUCAGCUAUGCAGAAGCAGCAGGCCUUUAGGCUAAUUAAUAAAUCAUCAACACAUUUGUGGUGUGAAAAAUGAAAUAUUUAUGCUUGCCAGAGUAAUACUUCUGUCUUGCAGCCCCAUGCUCUGUUGAUGCCUGAUGGAGGAUGAAGUAAAUACCAGCUGGUGUAGAAUGAGCAGAAUAUAAUUACUUUCUACAAAGUUAACUGAAUAUUAAAAAUAGAAGUCAGAGAAGCUGGCAAUAAGAGAAAAUAUAUGUGUAUACGUUGCCUGAAAGGCUGGACACAGCCGAUAUGUGGAAGGAACACUUGCCUAACUAUUGCUGUGAGGAUAGAGAACCUACAGGAUCCAUAUUGUGUACAAACGUGUCACACUGAGGUCUUUUUACAGAGCGGUUAGUGACCAGCUGGAGCAGUUAAAGGCCUGAAGGGAAGCCAAGGAUGCUCUAACAUUCAGUUGGUCAUCGUUAGGGGGCCAGCAAAGGACUUAAAGCAUCAGAUGCUGCUUUUCUAAAAUGUGACCACUACUUAAAAGAAAAAAUAUAUAUACUACUUGUAGGUUUGAAGUGAAGUGAAGAACUAGCCAGGUGCUAGUUGUGCUCUUUGUGUUCUGACACAAUAGAGGAUUUAAGGGCUCUCUGCUGGGUGUUAUUUCUGCAAUCACCACCCUGGUCCUCUGCUGAGUGAGUGUACCUGCACCAGCCCAAUCACACAGCUGGAAGGAAAACACUCUCCUGUCACAAGGGAGGAUUUAACCCUGUGUCUGAAGCAGAGGCUCAGCUAAGAACAGUCUGCAAAAGGAGCUGAUUUUAUCUGCUGGCAGCUGUGACAACAGGAAUGGAAAGAGCAGGCCCCCUCACAGAGCUGUCCCAAUGUAGGACAUCGGCCUGCCCACCUCCCAGCAGUAAUUUCAGAACUGGAAAACCUGGAAUGUGUUAUCUGACUCUUUUCCUUAGGUCUGUGUGUACGGUCUGAGGCUCUGAUGAAAGCUGGAUGUCCAGAAUCCAAGAAGAAGGCCCUGUUUCUGCAAAUUGUUUCAUUUGCUUUCACAUACAUGAGAGACUGUUGUUCAGGUGGUGGAGUUCAGUUCUGCAUAUCACCUUCUGGGGCUGCAUCUGAGCUGAACCUCUGUACCAGACCCUUCAGACUGGCAGUAUCUGCUAAACAUAUAGAUGCUCACAUUCAGAUCUUUAUAAUGGAAUCAAUAUGGAAGGCAAGACUUCUAACCUGUUGUAUUGGUCUGUCCUGUGUUGAAGCACUGAAUCUAAAAUCGGAAAGGAACAUAUUGCUCCCAUCCAGUCUUGGCAUUUCUGAAGUCAGUGUUGCACACAGGUCUGUUCCUCUCUUAUGGGGUCUGUUUGACAUCAAGGGCAAUGGAGAGUUUGGGUGUUUCUAGUUUUUCCGUGUUUGCUGCAUAAUGUGCUUAUAGUGUUUCUGUUACAGUUUAAUAGUAUAGGCACCCUUGAUGUAAUCUCAAUACCGUGUUUUCACAAAACCACAGCACAGCUGAGGCUGGUAGGGCCCUCUGGAACCAUCAGGCCCAACCCAGCUCCAGCAGGGACAGCCAAAGCAGACACACUGGGCCAUGUCCACGUGGUUGCUGAAGGUUCCAAGGAGAUGUGAAAGGCAGCCUGUGCCAGUGCCUGUCCCCCACAGCACAGAAGUACCUGAGGUAGUUACAGCUGACCCUACUUCAUGGUAUGGAUCUGGUUCAAGGAAGAAAAGAACUAUUGUGGAAAUGAAGGCCAUCACAAAGGUACAAGUCAGUCAGGAGCCAGCAGGAGCUACCACCAGGUAACCAGAACUUUAAAGCAUACGUAAUUUCUUAAAGCGCUUUAAUAAAUUCACAGUAGACUAAACACAGGUGUGUGUGAGAAAUGCUAGGCUAUAUCCACACCAGGGACUUGUACCUGAAAAUAAUAUCAAUGCUGCUCUUCAGGUUGGGAUUACCAGAUGCUUUUGUUAUAGAGUAUAUGAUACACAGGUGUUUUGACAGGAGUAUUAUUUUAAAAAAAAGAAUAGAAAAAGAGAAUUUUCGUAAGCAGUUGUUGUACUCAGAGCAGGUGGCUGCAAAGGGAUGAUCCAGAAAUUGCCCGCUUUCUUCUUUUACUGAUGUCAUUAGUCAGCUGCACUGGGUCAUCACCUUUUGCAAGUACACAAGGAAAAAUGGGUGUUUCUUACCCUGUUAUAAAUCAGUGUUCAACAUUUCCAAGGGCAGCAAGUUGUGGUCCUGAUGGAGUAGGUCUCAUUUGCAGCCAGGCUUGCUGUGAACCCAGCAAUCGGGGCAGUCAAGGGCCUGUUCCCAGUGUGGAACACUCACUGUAUGGGGACCACUUUCGCAGCUCAUAAAGACUUGUAAUAUCCCCACUGAAAAUGUACUGGGGAUGUGUGCUUAGCCAUGUGUGUAUUAUUAGCAUUCAUGCUGUCCUCACUUUGUUGCAACUUUAGGGUUUGGGCUGGGCUUUGUUGUUGUUUUUAUCUGUUUAGUUUUAAUGACCAGCAUCUACUUUCCAUGCAGUUAUGAGUGGUAAACAGUGGUAGCAUCUUCUGCUGUUCAGUCUUUAGCCUAUUGUGGGUUUGUAUCAUGAAUGUUUCGUUGAUGCAGGUAGGAUGGGCUUACUGACGUACAGUGUUGAAGAUAUGAUAUGGCUAUGAAACAUAAUCAGUUUGGGGCAGCACUGACAUAAGCUGAGCUGGAGCUGCCUUGUGGCAGAGCUGACACGAGGACUGUUUCAACCCUUACUUGUAUGGAAACAAAUGCUGCUGUAUGGAUUCUGUUCAAACUUACUUGUUUUCCAGUAUUUUUGCUUGUUUGUUUCUGAUUUUUACUAUUUAACAGCAAAGAAAUCCUGGCUGGCUUUAUUAUGAGGCUGUUCCACCUGCAGAGGGAUUCAGGCUGAUAUAUCUGCUCCUACGGAAAUCAUUAAGUCAUUAAUUUACAAGAAAUACAAAAAGCCUCAGUAAUCUCAACUGUGUUUUAGUCACAAGGUUUAAUGAUGCUGGUGCAAAAUUUAGCACCAUUAAUUAUCGUGUGGAGAAAUAUAGCAGUAUCUCUGUCAUUUGAAGCACUUGAACAGGAAAGUCAGCAAAAUCUUACUCAAGGGCUACAAAGGAUCAG